AAUAACAGCCUGUUCCACGAUCUCGAAAGAAAAUUUGUGCGAACGAAGGCUACUCACUCACUUUCGUAUAAGAAUGCGUUCCACUAACUUUCGUUCUUUCUUUCGCAUAGCCUUACGUGAUUCAGUGUUGCUAAAUAUUUUUUGGCAAAAUUAAUCGCAAAAUAAAGCAAAAAAAAAAGCGCCAAAUGUCUAAUUUAAACGCGAAAAAGCAGCAGUGGCUGUGUCUCAACUGACAGUUCAAACAAAUUGUAAAUAAACAAACAAAACAAAAUUUUUAGUGAUUGUGUUCAAAUUAUUUGUGUUCUUAAAAAAGAAAAAAAUGAAUAUUUCUGUAGCCCUAUUUUUUAUGGAUGAUGAGGAGGAGGUUCAAAAUGUGCCACGGAGGCAUUUAAGAGAUUCUUCGAAUUUAUUUGAAGUACCUAACAACCAGUUUGUGGCCAAUUUUCGUGUGUCGAAGGAAGUUUUUCGGGCUCUUUUGGAUAUGAUGGAUAUGAUGCUGCUUCCAAAAAUUGGCACUCCUCUGGCGAACUCAGGAUUCUCCUACAUAUACUCAACUAGUGCCCGCAGCUGUGUAGUUGAUUUUUUCGUGCUGGCAUUUAGGAAAUAAAAAAAAUAUAUUUGUUGUUCACA